rnacentral:rRNA from 1 species
UGGCGGCGUGCCUACACAUGCAAGUCGAGCGAGAAUUUGGUGGAAGAAGCUUCGGCCUAUGAAACUAGAUGACAGCGGCGGACGGGUGAGUAACGCGUGGGUAACCUGCCCUAUGGAGGGGGAUAACACAGAGAAAUCUGUGCUAAUACCGCAUAAGCGCACAGUAUCGCAUGAUACAGUGUGAAAAACUCCGGUGCCAUAGGAUGGACCCGCGUCUGAUUAGCUAGUUGGUGAGGUAAUGGCUCACCAAGGCGACGAUCAGUAGCCGACCUGAGAGGGUGAUCGGCCACAUUGGGACUGAGACACGGCCCAAACUCCUACGGGAGGCAGCAGUGGGGAACAUUGCACAAUGGAGGAAACUCUGAUGCAGCGACGCCGCGUGAAGGAAGAAGGUUUUCGGAUCGUAAACUUCUAUCAGCAGGGAAGAAAAUGACGGUACCUGACUAAGAAGCCCCGGCUAACUACGUGCCAGCAGCCGCGGUAAUACGUAGGGGGCAAGCGUUAUCCGGAAUUACUGGGUGUAAAGGGAGCGUAGGCGGUAGAGUAAGUUAGAUGUGAAAGCCCAAGGCUCAACCUUGGGACUGCAUUUNAAACUGCUUUACUAGAGUACAGGAGAGGAAAGUGGAAUUCCUAGUGUANCGGUGAAAUGCGUAAAUNUUAGGAGGAACNCCNGUGGCGAAG